AUUGAACGCUGGCGGCAGGCCUAACACAUGCAAGUCGAGCGGAUGAAGGGAGCUUGCUCCUGGAUUCAGCGGCGGACGGGUGAGUAAUGCCUAGGAAUCUGCCUGGUAGUGGGGGAUAACGUCCGGAAACGGGCGCUAAUACCGCAUACGUCCUGAGGGAGAAAGUGGGGGAUCUUCGGACCUCACGCUAUCAGAUGAGCCUAGGUCGGAUUAGCUAGUUGGUGGGGUAAAGGCCUACCAAGGCGACGAUCCGUAACUGGUCUGAGAGGAUGAUCAGUCACACUGGAACUGAGACACGGUCCAGACUCCUACGGGAGGCAGCAGUGGGGAAUAUUGGACAAUGGGCGAAAGCCUGAUCCAGCCAUGCCGCGUGUGUGAAGAAGGUCUUCGGAUUGUAAAGCGCUUUAAGUUGGGAGGAAGGGCAGUAAGUUAAUACCUUGCUGUUUUGACGUUACCAACAGAAUAAGCACCGGCUACUUCGUG
rnacentral:rRNA from 1 species